AAACAAACAAUUGAACCACACUUCAAACUAUCUUAUCUUUCUUUGUUUUUUUUUUGUUUUUUUUAUUUUCUUUCUUCCUCUUCUUUCCAUUGACUUUUCUUCUUCUUCCUUAUCUCUGGCCCGUUUCUUUCUUCCUCCUUUUUUAUUCCUUCCAAAGCCUCCCUUUUUUUUUCUUUCUUCCUUUCCAGGCCGUUCCUUCUAUUUCUUUUUUUCUUCCUUCAUUCCUUUUCACUCUCUCUUCAUGCUGCACCCCAACUUUUAAGAGAGCCAGAUCCACUUCUGGGUAUGUGGUGGCUGCAAACACCCACCCCUCUCUCUUUUUGGUUCCACUAAUUAAUGGUUGUGGUGGUUUAAUUAGGUGAUUAUGGUUGUUGAACUGAGUAUGUGGUGGCUGUUUAUGGGUGGUGAUGAUGCUUUGUUUGACUGAUUGGGUGGUGAUGAUGGUUCGAUUGGGUCUCUGGCGGCUGGUUAUGGGUUUGAUGGUGGUGGUCUGACAGAGAUGGCAAAGAGAGAUGCUUCUGGGUUCUGCGGGUGGCUGUGGUGGCGAAGAGAGAUGGGUUUGUGUGUGGCUUGCGGGUGGUGGUCAUGAGCGAGAACAAAUUCGGGGGAGAAGAGGGAGAGCUGGGCAUUGCCAGAGUCUGUCGAUUGGGUCUGUGGUGGUGGUGUUUUGAUUCAAGGCAUAAGGAAAUCCAGCCGGACUUGUGUGUUCAAAAUAGCGAUGGUGCUAUUUUACGAACUGCAUUUGGGGCUCACUGAAUUAGACAUGCGAGUCUGGUUAUUUUUUCACUAUUGGACUAUGGAAUCUCAUUUAAGUUAAUCGGUUUUAAGUGUUAUUUAACACAAUCCAGUCCAGUGAGGCAUAGUGAGGCCUACCAAACAUGCCCAUAGAUAACUACCCAUGUUAUCUUUUCUUAAUUCUAAAAAUAAAAUAUAAAAUAUAAAAUAAAAUCAAUUGGCACAUACCUAAAGAAACCCAG
rnacentral:lncRNA from 1 species